rnacentral:rRNA from 1 species
UACGGGGGGGGCAAGCGUUGUUCGGAAUUACUGGGCGUAAAGGGCUCGUAGGCGGCCAACUAAGUCGGAUGUGAAAUCCCCAGGCUUAACCUGGGAACUGCAUCCGAUACUGGAUGGCUUGAAUCCGGGAGAGGGAUGCGGAAUUCCAGGUGUAGCGGUGAAAUGCGCAGAUAUCAGGAGGAACACCGGUGGCGAAGGCGGGUCUCUGGGCCGUAACUGACGCUGAGGAGCGAAAGCGUGGGGAGCGAACAGG